rnacentral:rRNA from 1 species
AAUUGGAUUCAACCCCGGAAAACUCACCAUAGCCGACGGACAUAUGAAGGUUCAGUGUAAUGAACUUACCCGAUUGUUCGAGAGGUAGUGCAUGGCCGCCGUCAGUUCGUACCGCAAGGCGUUCUGUUAAGUCAGAUAACGAACGAGACCCUCAUCUCUAUUUGCUAACCAGAUCUCCGGAUUUGGUGCACUAUAGGGAGACCGCUGGCGCUAAGUCAGAGGAAGGGGAGGGCAACGGUAGGUCAGUAUGCUCCGAAUGCUAUGGGCUACACGCGCAAUACAAAGGACAGGACAAUGGGCUGCUGCUCCGAAAGGAAUGAUAGCUAUCCCGAAACCUGUUCGUAGUUCGGAUUGAGGGCUGUAACUCGCCCUCAUGAAGCUGGAUUAGGUAGUAAUCGCGUUUCAACAUAGCACGGUGAAUAUGCCCCUGCUCCUUGCACACACCGUCCGUCAAACCAUCUUAGUUGGGGGUGGGUGAGGCUGCG